CAUUAGAGGCAUAAUAGACAUUAUACCAUUUUUCAAUAAAACAUCUUUAUUCAAAUGAUCCAAAUUGGUUCAGCUGAAUAAACUUUAAAAUAAAGCUUAAAUUUCCAAAAGUCAUCCGAAUGAUCCAUCUGAAUGAUUUGCACUUUUAGUGUCUAAACAAACAAAACUCUCAUCUUCAUCCAGAUGAUUCAUCCAGAUGGAGAAACAAACGGGCCCAUAAUAUUAUAUAAGAAAAUAAAAAAUCUAACAAUAAUAAAAGGAGAAUAUGGUGCAAGGAGAAGCAUGCCACGUCACUUUAAAAAAUCAACCAAUAUGGAUUCUCUAUUUUGUCAUGUCAAAUCGUCUUUUAUUUUAAACAGUUUUAACCGGGCCAUUCAUGUGGGCUGUUCAAUAUUUCGAAUUGGCCCAUUUUAGAUCCACCUCUCACAUAUCUGUUGAUUGUUGAUCUCCGACUCUUCAAAUACGUCUUGGUCGUUCCAUUUAUCUGCAAUUCACCGUUAUCCAAACCUAAUCUUUUUCAUUCAAUUAUGUUUUUAAUCUGGAACCACGAUUUUAUUUCACCUCCUUUUGUUCUUCCUCCUCCUCCUUUAUAAAUCCCUUCAUCCAAUGGUUCUUCUAAUCAAAACUUUCCACUGAAAAAUAUAAAGCGAUAGCUAUGAACUCUGUUAAGUCCACCGGAAUGGCUCCCGCCACCACCAGAAAGGCUUCCCGCUCCUGUCGCCAUGUGCGAAGGGGAAGUUCUUUGCUGGAUUUGAUAUCUCUGGUUUCUGUGAAACACAUAAAGGGGCAAG